UGCUCGCUAGCACGAUCCAACUGUCUAUUCCACAAUAGACAAUAUAUUCUCUUCCUCCCUGCAUGCUAGGGUCAAAUCCAAGUUUCUAUUUCAUUCCUCUCGAAGUAAGAGGUCAACCAACAGACCUUUCCGAAUUCUAGGAUAACGACUACAACUCCCUUCCAAGUGUCACUUAACAUUCGAUUAACCACUUAAGCUCAAUAUCAGUCGCUUAUCGUUCAUUCUUCACUAAUCAAUUCGCGCAUCUUCCGCCCAAAUAUCACUUAACUUCGACCAUAAGAUUCAAUUUGAAGUCCAUAGCUUAGGACUGCGUAUAACUUUGACACAUUUUCUGUCGAAGUUUCCUUAUUUCAUAAUCGGCCUUGUUUCCAAUAUCUCUUACACUGGUGUACUAAUCAUAGCUUAGCAUAUAGAAAAUCUUUCUACCUACUUUUCCAUCAAAUAUAGGCGGAUUAAACCACAUAAACGCCGUCAGUCCUACUAACGAUUGCUUGUGCUCAGCCCUUGUUGCAGUCGAAUCAGAAUCAGACGGCCCAGAAACCACUGGAGGGAUAAUCACUGAAAAAGGGGGGGCACAAUCGCUGGCGGAUCAGGUAUAGGUGCAUCCUGACUCCCAGAUACUGGUGUUGUCGCCCGUUGCGACACUAGAUCCUAUAACCUCAUUAUGUUCUCUUCCUGCCUCUGCAUAGCUCCAGCUCCAAUGCGCUCACCGGAGCACGUAGCUCCAGAACUUCGCUAGAUCCAGUCUGCUCUGGCAUCCUAGAAGGUGAUGCCGGAGUGGAUCUCGUCGCACGUCGCGACAUUUCUCUUGAAAUGAACCCUUUACACUAGUAAAACAAUACCAAUCAGGCGAAAGCAAUCAAGUAUAUUUAUACUCAACUCUUAGCUUUAUGUUGUGGGCCCCCAACAUAACUCCUUAGUUGUAUAUAAAUAACACUUGGAUCAGCCCCUAAUUAACAUUAGAGACUUACUAACAACUAACCAAAUUUAUUUAGCUUUCGCUAUCAUUAGAUUCGCGCCACUCGCGUUCCUGGUUCCUAGGUUUCCAUUCCUAAGUCCCCUAGGUCAUCCUAGACUUUCACUAUCACUUGCUCUGAUACCACUCUAUCUGUCACGUCCCGAGCCUCGCCUAUUUGGUCGAUCCGGGCCCGUACACAGACGCCGAACGAACAGUACCUCCUCUGUUCGCCCAAGGCUCAACAACAACGGAUACAUGUAUAAAGAAAUUAAACAAUUCCCAGGAUCACAUUUCAAUAUACAUGGCUUGCACGAUGGCAAGCAACAACACAAGUGAUAGUACGUCUAACUAAACAUAUAAUCCACUGUAAUUUAAAACUUUACAUAACUGAAACAUUUAGUUAUUACAUGCUUUAUAUACAAUCAUUUACAUGUCUCUGUACAUCGAAAUAGAUAAUACAUGAACCCAAAAUGGUAUACCACUAGUACUCGGGUGUCCACUAGCUAGGCUGCUGGCUCUUGCCUCGAUCCUCGGCCACAAUACUCGUACUGGAACCUGUAUGGUUAGUGGUGUGUGAGAACUACAAGAAAGUUCCCAGUGGGUUCGGCUGCCGACUUCGCCGACUCACCCACUAGGUCUAUUCAGGCAUAUGUAGGCAAGAAAAGUAAGCAAAUAGUAACCAACUAUAACAUGUAACUACUACAAUGCCUGUACAAAGCUGAAAGAAGUAACAGAUAUGAAAACUGUAAAUAUGCAUGCAUGCUUUUCAUUAACUUUACCUAAUCUUUUGAUUAACCCUCUGGUUAACAGCUGGACAAGUACGUUAGUCCAUAAAUUUACCCAAUUCAGUGGUUAACCCUUUGGUUAACAAUAACUCACCAACGAAAUCCCUCACGGGCCCUAAGCUGCCUCCCGAUGGGACCGUCUGUCGGACAAGUACGUUAGUCCUGGGGCUAGUACGUUAGCCCAACAAGUGACUACUCCGGAGCUCACUGCCUGGGGGGAGCGACCACCACCAAGCUAAGAAAACAGACUAUGUGAGUAAGAUCUGAUCCCCUUUUAGAGGAUUCAACUGACAACAAUGUCACAAUUUAACUCUAACUAGUUCUUUAUACUAGUUUCAUAAUUGCAUUUCUCGAUGCUAACCAAAUCUCUAAUCAUGAUGUCACCAAGUUUACUAUUGUCUUAGUCCUUUACAGUUUCAUAAUUUCACUGUUUAUCUCACAAUGCUAUCCAAUUCUCUAGUUAGAAUGUCACCAAGUUUACUAUUGUCAAAGUCCAUGCAUUCAUAGGGUUCUAUGUCCACAAUCUAAGGUUCACAAAUUCUCAUUGUUGAUAGGAAUUCACAUUUUCACUCGCUCAAUGCCAAACACCCUAUAAUGCGUGACUACAAAUAUAAAUAUGCUCAACGAAGAAUUAUAGACAUAAAAGGUGAUUCAAAGAGUUCGGAUAGCACCACCCACCUGUAGUGGUGUCAAUCAACUAAAAUCCACGUCUCGGAAAGCGUCGAGACUAUCUCUCGCGACUCCAUGCAAUUAGGACUAGAACGGCCGCUACCGUAAUUAGCGCGUCGUCGACCUGUCGGAAAGUCAAAUUAGACUCUUGGGCACGUUUACUUUUCACUUAUAAAGGAUUAGAAAAGAUUAAACUAGAGUCAAUACUCAUAUUUUACAAAUUAGCAUUUCAAUGCUAUAUAAAACGGCAACUAUAGCCGAAAAACUUCUUUUGGCGAUAUCUUUGCGUAGGUUCGUCGGAUUGCCGAACCGACUUCGCCAACGCGUUUCUUUUACCCUCAAUUUGGUUUACACGCGGUCAAUUUCGCAUUAGGACUCUUAUUUUGCAAAAGUGCAUUGCCGGGGUCAGUUUUCAUUUAAACCCCGUUUUUAUAGAAACCCUAACUUAUUUUGCAUCUUUUCAUUUUCUUUCUUUCAUUUUUUCUUCUUAUUCUUUCUUUCUUUUCUUUUCUUACUUUCUUUCUUUCUUUCUUUCUUUUCUUUCUUUCUUUCCUCACUUUCUUUCUUUCUUUCCUUUUCUUUCCCUGCAGGCUGCAGCUGCUGCUGCUGUUGAAGCUUCUCUGCUGAAGCUGCUGCUGCUGCGGACUGCUCAGCAGCUAGCUGAGCUGCUGCUGCUGAAGCCCUGCUGCUGCUGCUGUUCUUGCUAAGCUGCUGCUCAGCAGCUUGCGCAAGCUGCUGCUGCUGCUAAAGCUCUGCGCAAGGCUGCUGAGGCUGCUGCUGCUAACUGCCGAGCUGCUGCUGCUGAUUCUACUACUGCUGCUGCUGAAGCCCCUGCUGACAGCAGCUACCACUGCUGACUGCCAAGCUGCUGCUGCUAUUACUUGCUCAGCCUCUAGGCUGAGCUGCAGCUGCUGCUGCUGAUUGCUUGCUGCUGCUGACAGCAGCAGAGAAAAGGGAGUGAGGGGGGGAAAGAAAACAGAGCAAAGAGAGGAAAAGAAAUAGAAAUCUUUACCUUUCUUUCUUCUUUGUCUUUCUUCUUCUUCUUCUCUUUUCUCUUCUCUUCUUUGCUCCUUCUUUUCUCCUUCUCUCUCUCUGGACGUAGGCAGCAAGAAUGAAGAGGGAGGGGAUAAGGAUGGAGCUCCCUGGCAGGGGACUUAGUGGAAUUCCACUAACUUGGUGAUAAUUACCAUAAUGCCCCUCGACUAAUCCGUUUAGCGACACGGAUCAACUACCUUUCGCAGGCCCUUCCGAAAGUCCGAUUGAGCUCAAAUUUGGCAGGAAUGUUCGUUUUUACUUAACAAGUCCACUGAAAUUUUAACAUUUCAGUUUCGACCCCGUUUGGUCACUGCGAACUGUCCCGAACUGUAAUCUUUAUCAGAUAACUUCCAGAUGCUAUUUCUCUCUCUACAGGUGUCAGAAAAAUCUGAAACUUCAAAACUAACCUUAUAAUAAUGUUCCUGACAUCUCUGCCAAUUUUCGUAAUUUUCUGACACUGUGCAUUUUCUGCUAAUUUUCUCAGUCCCGUUCUUUACAGAAAAUUUCAAAUCUUCUGUUUUUGCUCCGAUUUUAACACGAACACUUCCAAAACAUGCCAAGGGACUUUCACAAGCUACCAAUUCAAUUUGGAAGGCAUUCCUUUUCAUUUUGACAUCAUAUGGUUCAUUUCGACCAAAUCGACUACAUAAUUCAGCAUUCGAGUUACAAUGGCAAUUGGAGUUCUUUUGUCACUUCGUUUCCACUUGUAUCUAUUCCCACACUUCCAAAGUGUGCCAAUGACUGAUCUCAAGCUUCUAAUUCAGUUUAGAAGUCUCUAAUUUCCAUUUUAGCAUUAUUGUGCCCACUUUGAUCACAAUUAGCUUCUAAUCAAGUUUCAGUCUAUUACAAUCUCCCCUCCUUAAAAUAGUUUCGUCCUCGAAACUCGAUUUCAUACUUCAAUUCUCCUGGUCAAAUAGAUGAGGGAAGAGAUUCCAUCACUCGCAAUUUCCACUUCUCAACGAAGGGUUCAUUCUAACAGCUCCACACUUAAAUGAUCUGACGGCAUAAUCCGCCAACAUUUCCCGUGGCUACUCAUUACUCAAGUGUCUCCUAGAGACCACUUUACUUUCUCUUUAUCCUUGGAUGCUACAAGCCACCAUCAAUGUCCAUUCGUCUUGCAACGAAUUUAUACGAACCCGCCAUUCAUGGUUCAGGCCAAAACAAACUAACAGAGUUGUCGGUCACACCGACCAUCGGUUCCCACAGGUGGACCAGGGGCCACCAACCCUACGUAGGCCUACAGCCGAAACCGAUCUCGACGACGCCUAGCGUCUCUCGCUCGCAAGCGCAAACCCAAUUAUCACGUAGCAAAGUUCUCAUUUGAGACAUCGCAUACCUGCUCCAACUGGGAGCAACCGAGACCCUAAACCACGCCAAAUUCUCGGGUUGGGUCGCUACACACCCUGUGUGUCCUCGAUCUCACGAUCUAACACGUGGCAUUCCACGUACUCGGGUCUAUGCUCGGACUACCGUCCUGACCAAAACUCUCUGCCCUACCCGUAGGUACCGGGACGCUGCCUCUCGCAGCUGACUGCGCCUGCCCAAUGGGCCCAGGCUCCACAGUCCAAAAAGGGUCCAGGCACGGCUCGUCCCCAAGCACUACCCGCCAACGUCGUUUCACACGAAAUGCUCUACAGAGCUACAAGUAUAACUAUCGGCUCCUAAGCACCUAGUGCGAGCCACCAGCCCCGCGAGUGAUCCAUGGCACGCUUCACACUUAGCAACGCUCAGGUGCUACUGCCAACACACUCUCCUGGCUGAAUCAGAAUCCACAUUCUACGGACAGCUAUACUCAAGCGUCCUACACUAUCGCGUCUCUUGCCAGACAUCUCACGCUAGGCAAUUCAGCCUAUGUCUCAAUUACGCAACCACAAUUCCUCAACUUAUUUAAGGUACAACUCAACUAACUCGCCAAAACCAGGCGAUCAUCUAACCACGCCACAACAGUGACGCCCUUACCACUACACAAUCCAUCGGAAAUACCAUCUGGAUUUUCGAACUCUAGAAACGUCUUCUAACGUUUCUACUUUAAUUCUCAUUACCACCCGAAUGGUUUAGAGAAUAGGUCCACCAUGUCCAUCUUCAUCUCGAGCCCCAACAUUGGCUCACUGUGACUGCUCGCUAGCACGAUCCAACUGUCUAUUCCACAAUAGACAAUAUAUUCUCUUCAUCCCUGCAUGCUAGGGUCAAAUCCAAAUUUCUAUCACACUCUUGCAUGUACCGCUCGGAGUUCGUAUCGUUUCCAAGUAUACAAUCUUCUUACUGAAGGCAAAUUACCAUCACUUCACUUAUCCAAUACUACACGCGGCCUUGCCGUGUGAAAGUCACCACAAUCAUUCCUCUCGAAGUAAAAGGUCAACCAACAGACCUUUCCGAAUUCUAGGAUAACGACUACAACUCCCUUCCGGGUGUCACUUAACACUCGAUUAACCACUUAAGCUCAAUAUCAGUCGCUUAUCCUUCAUUCUUCACUAAUCAAUUCGCGCAUCUUCCGCACAAAUAUCACUUAACUUCGACCAUAAGAUUCAAUUUGAUACUUCCUCAGAAGUUCAUAGCUUAGGACUGCGUAUAACUUUGACACAUUUUCUGUCGAAGUUUCCUUAUUUCAUAAUCGGCCUUGUUUCCAAUAUCCAAAGAUCUGCCUCUUUUCCACCAAAUAUAGGCGGAUUAAACCGCAUAAACGCCGUCAGUCCUACUAACGAUUGCUUGUGCUCGGCCCUU
rnacentral:lncRNA from 1 species